GUACCUAAUUUAGUUUUUUAAUAAUAUCACCGGUAUCGCAGGUCAGUGAACUCUUGCACCUUCCAGCAGGUGUAUGUAAAUAUUUUUUGGCGUCGAGCCUAUGCAUCGAUGUCAUUACAACACGCUCCGCUUGUCGAUUUCUCAUACACGCGAAUUACUCACGUUUGAAAGCUCGAGAUGCUCAAACCCACGUGGACUCGAGUUGCGCCCGAGUAAUCGCGUAUACGCAAUAGGUACUUGUAAGGUUACUGAGCGAGUACUGAACUAAUGUACCUAUUAAUUAAGCAACGUGUAUUUUAAAUUUUGAGCAAUUAAAAUACCUCACGUUUAUUUAUUAUAUCUAUUAAUCAUAUUUCAAUAAUUUAAUAUUUUAUGACAGGUAAAAAUGUAUGAACUUACUUUUAUAUGACUGGUCUUAAAUGGCGUGACAUUUAAAUUAUACGUUUGAGUACAUUUUUCAUAACAGUCUAAUUCUUUUGAACUUUGCAAACAGUAUGCAAUUACCUUUUUGUUUAAUCUAUCGAAUAUGUACCUACUUCAGUGCAAUUUAAAAAAUGUCGCGAACAUCCAAGCGAAAGAGGCUACAAAGUGCUUUUUUGGAAAAUAAAUAUCCGGUGAGCAACGUAAAUUAUAACUUUUGUCACUGUGGCUUGAAAAUAUGUAGCGUAAACAAAAAGGGGACUGUUGAAAUGUCGGGCAGGCAUUUUAUUACAAUGAGUAAAACACUAUUAUAGCAGGUUUUUAAUUUUAAAGGGAACAAACCCUAUGGUGUUUGUUUGUAAAGUUCUGUUUGUUUGCGGUUCCGUGCGCUUGAAAAUCUUUUCUCGGAAUAAAAGGUUAGAGGGCUGGUGCAGUCUUUAGGAAUUACAAGUAGCUUUAGCUACUCUUUUGCCUAUUAACUAUAUUUCGGCCCCGCGUUGGUUCCUUCUUAACGUAUUAUUUACUAGCUUUUAUUUUCCGAGUCGCCCGCGUGAAAGAGAAAGGGAUAAAAGUACCGUUAUAAUUUUUUCCGAAAUAAAAAGUGACCUUAUCUCCUUUCUAAGAUCUUAAACUAUUUCCAUAUAAAAUUUCAUCGAAAUUCGUUCGUUAGUUUUUAAUUUAUCGCGUCCAGACAGACAGACUUACAGAUAGACAGACAGACGCGUGCCUGUCUGUCUGUAUAUUAAUACAACUGUUGAGUGAGAAAACUAAAUAGCUUCACAUUAUGGUAAGUGAGCGUAAAAAUACAUAAACAUUGAUGACAGCAUCCAGUAUUUUUAAUUAUUACGUCCUGCAUGGUACUGAUGGCAUUUAUUUUGUGACGCAAUUAAAUGAUGAUGAGAUGUCAAAUCUCAUAAUAUUUAGUACUACAUUGGUUUUAAAAAACUCUGAAAAACAAGACUGGUGGUAUCGGAAAAGUGGGGUAAAUAUUAAAUCAGACUGCUCUUGCACUCGGGAGGUCUACCGCCGCCUGAAAACAAUAUAUUAUGCAUUCAUGUAAUCUGUUCAAGCACAAUGUAAACCGUAUUUACACGAAAAACUUUCACGUUUGCGGUACAUCCAUUAAUUUAAAGAAAACAUUUCAAAAGUAUUUUGCUCGUGCUCUAGUUUUCAAAAUUCUCAACUCGAAUUAGACAUUUUCACGUCAAAACAUUUAAAUUGACACGAGUAACGUGUAAAUUAUGCAAAUAUUUAUUGAUGGAUUAGAAUUACGAUAUCUGUAGUAUGAUCAACAGCGCAGUAAUGUGUUUCAAGUGCCCGACCGCUAAAAUUAUUUUCGAGAGUUCUUGAUGAGAAAGUUAACGUGGUUCUGUAAUCUGUCGUACAAAAUGGAAUGCCUGUUUAAAAAGGGGGUCGUGCCAAAAAUAGUAAAGUAAUUAAAACGUUCUAGAAAAAUACUAUUACAUUUAAUCCGGUUAAGAAGUAAAGACAACGCGUACCUAUUUA
rnacentral:lncRNA from 1 species